rnacentral:tRNA from 1 species
GGUAGAUAGUAUAAUGGUAAUGCAAAAAGCUUUUUAUGCUUGAGGCUUCCAGACCCCAGGUUCAAUUCCUGGUACUACCA